ACGCACAUUGCGCCCAUCAGUACUCUGGUGGGCAUGCCUGUCCGAGCGUCAUUUCAACCCUUCAGGCCCUGUAUUGCCUGGCGUUGGGGCCUAUCUGUGAUCCCCUCCGGGGGUCACAGGCCCCCAAGAUCAGUGGCGGGCUCCGCCGUGGACUCCGAGCGUAGUAGUUUAUUCUCGCUCAGGGGGUCUCCGGGCGGGUCCGGCCGUUAAACCACCCAAUUUAUAGAAGGUUGACCUCGGAUCAGGUAGGGAUACCCGCUGAACUUAA
rnacentral:misc_RNA from 1 species